UGGUCUGGAGGAUGUGUUUCAGGUGUCAGUCUAUGCUUGUUGUUGGCCUGGAUGGUCUAGAGGAUGUGUUUCAGGUGUCAGUCUAUGCUUGUUGUUGGCCUGGAUGGUCUGGAGGAUGUGUUUCAGGUGUCAGUCUAUGCUUGUUGUUGGCCUGGAUGGUCUGGAGGAUGUGUUUCAGGUGUCAGUCUAUGCUUGUUGUUGGCCUGGAUGGUCUGGAGGAUGUGUUUCAGGUGUCAGUCUAUGCUUGUUGUUGGCCUGGAUGGUCUGGAGGAUGUGUUUCAGGUGUCAGUCUAUGCUUGUUGUUGGCCUGGAUGGU